GCCUGAUUGGUUGAGCAUUUGACUUCGGCUCAGGUCAUGAUCUCACAGUUUGUAGGUUCGAGCCCUGCAUCAGGCU
rnacentral:tRNA from 1 species